rnacentral:rRNA from 1 species
UACGGAGGAUGCGAGCGUUAUCCGGAUUUAUUGGGUUUAAAGGGUGCGUAGGCGGCUUCUUAAGUCAGCGGUGAAAUUUUGCAGCUUAACUGUAACAGUGCCGUUGAUACUGGGGAGCUAGGAUUUGGUUGCUGUGGGUGGAAUGUGUGGUGUAGCGGUGAAAUGCUUAGAGAUCACACAGAAUAUCGAUUGCGAAGGCAGCUCACAAAGCCAAGAUUGACGCUGAGGCACGAAAGUGUGGGGAUCAAACAGGAUUA